rnacentral:lncRNA from 1 species
UAAAGAAAUUUUUUUUUAAGGCAGGAAGCAAACCAGAAACGAAGCAUGUGUUUUUUUUUUCCUCUUUUGCAGUUGCGAGGACUUUUAGCCAAAUUACAGAGGCUUUGUUACCCAUAAUUUGGAAUUCUCACUAAGAUUUGACCAAGCCAGGUAGAGUUGGUGAAACCUGAUGGGAGAAAGACCAGAACAAACAACAACAAAAAAACCAACAAUAUGAUCACUGAGUGUUCUAAUUUCUCAGUAUUGAGCAGUGCCAAGACAAAGAAUUUAUGACAACAAUUUAUUAAUUGAUGAAGACUGUGCCGUGACACUUCUCUAACUGGGGAAAAGAACUGAGCUAGGGAUGUGUGUCCGCCAUUGGGAAGGGGCCCAGAGGAGUUUCCAUGAACCACCAGAAGCAGAUAAAGCUGGAUUGAGAAACACGAUUAUGACCUAUGUAUUGAAUCCUUGUGAGAGGAAGAGGAAGAUUGAGGAGAAUGGGAAAUCAGUUUAAAAUAGAGUUUUAUUACUCAUAACUUAGCUUGGAAACUUUGGAGAAAAACAA